UACGUAGGGCGCAAGCGUUGUCCGGAAUUAUUGGGCGUAAAGGGCUCGUAGGCGGUUCGUCACGUCGGGAGUGAAAACUCGGGGCUUAACCCCGAGCCUGCUUCCGAUACGGGCAGACUAGAGGUAGGCAGGGGAGAGCGGAACUCCUGGUGUAGCGGUGGAAUGCGCAGAUAUCAGGAAGAACACCGGUGGCGAAGGCGGCUCUCUGGGCCUUACCUGACGCUGAGGAGCGAAAGCGUGGGUAGCGAACAGG
rnacentral:rRNA from 1 species